GUGUUUAAAAGCUUAGGAUUGUUUUCAUUUUGAUUGAGUAUUUAAAAAAUGUUAAGUGCCAUUUUGAGAUUCAUAGCUACAUGUUAACUGUAAAUAGAAGGACUAAGGAACUAUUUUCUCAGUCUCCUACUGUCUCCCGUGUGACAGGUGCUUUUCAUAUAUGUUCUUUCAUUUCUUCACAACAAUCCUGUCAGGUCGGUGUCACCCCACUUUACCGAUGAGAAGGCGGAAUCACAACAGAAUGACUUCCCCACCGUGGCAGAGCUUUGAGUGGCAAACACUGCAUUUUGAACUCCCUUCCAUCAUAUCAGCAUCACUUACUGAAGAAGUAAUUAGUACUACUACAAGACCCUUUCCCAGAAUCAAAGGAGAUGUUGUUCACUAAUGCUUUUUCCAAACUAGAACAUGUUACUCAAGGGAAGGGUAAGUAUUAAAUUACAAGCAGCAUGCUGUAAUAAGUAAAACAAAUAGGUAUCUAGUCCCUAUCAUUUAGAGCCCAAUGCCUUGAAUAAAUUGUCCUGUGGAAUGGAGGUCAUCAAUAGGCAUUUUAAUCUUAACAUUUCAUGUGGAUGUACUUUUGUUUUUUUUUAAUUAAUUUUUUUAAAGAUUUUAUUUAUUCAUUCAAUAAAUAGAGAGAGGCAAAGACACAGGCAGAGGGAGAAGCAGGCUCCAUGCUGGGAGCCCGACGCAGGAGUCAAUCCAGGGACUCCAGGAUCACGCCCUGGACCAAAGGCAGGUGCCAAACAGCUGAGCCACCCAGGGAUCCCCUGGAUGUACUUUUUAAAAAAGUAAUGGCAGGGGCGCCUGGGUGGCGCAGUUGGCUGAGCAUUAUACUUGGUUUUGGCUCAGGUCACAAUCUCAGGGUCCUGGGAUCAAGCCCCGUAUCAGGCUGCCUGCUCAGCUGCCUAUCUCUCUGCUCCACCCACAAAUUGCACUCUCUCUCUCAAAUAAAUAAAUAAAUCUUUAAAAAGGUAAUGACAUCUGGCUAUUAUACUGGCAGGUACUGGGUCUGUUGUGUAUCACUUAUAAUAAUUUAGUAUUCAUACUAGGCUACUUUACAAAAGACAAAAAUAAGACAUGGUCACUGCUCGGAAGCCUUAUAAUCUGAAAGGCAUUAAGAUACAGUGGAUACACAACCAUAGGGACAGAAAACUUUAUCUUUAAAAAAAUUUUUUUGGCACGAAAAAUGAGUCUUUGGUGAUUAUCAAUGAAAUGUCUUAAUGAAGUAGGUUUUGGAAUGAGAUAUUUAAAGGGAAGGUACUACUUUGCAUACGAAAGAGAAAUGAAUGAUUUGGUUUCUGGGACUUCAUGAACAAGUGAUUUUCAGCUGAUGGCAA
rnacentral:lncRNA from 1 species